rnacentral:lncRNA from 10 species
GAUGCUCCCAGCUGAAUAAGUCCCUUCUUUCUACAACUCGGUGUCUUGAGUUUUGUCUGCGGCUCCUCCUGUUACAUUUCUUGGCUCCCUGACCGGGAAGCAACGUGACUGACAGACAGCUGAGGCAGCCCCUUAGGCAACUUAAGCCUGCCUUGUGGAGUGCCCCUGUGGGGGACUCCAGCCAGCCUGAGUGACAUGAUCCAAAGAGCCCUCCUGGGUAGGAAAUUGCCCCGGUGGAAUCCCUCACCAGAGAAGCAGGUAGCAGGCCCUCGCAGAGGAUUAACACAGUGGCUGAACACCAGGAAGGAACUGGCACUUGGAGUCCAGACAUCUAAAAUUUGGUACUGCGAAGGUCAUGAGACGCCUGAGAAGGCCUGAACUACAGCUGUCUGGGCACCUAGUGAAGGUUAUAAGGCAAACCAGUGCAAGGCUCUUUUGAGCAAAACCUAGAUAACAGACAUCUAGGUUGCAAAGCAACAGUCAUGUGUAAUCCCGAGUUAUGAACUAUCACAAUUUGAUUAAUUGUUCUCCCUCUGUAUCUCUGCUUUCAUGCCACUGUAAGCCUACAUCAAGUUAGCCCACCCCUUUUGGAAAGUGUGUAUGAAAGUCAAGUGCUGUCUUUGUUGGGGCCCAAUCUCUGGAUGUUAAGUCAGCUGAGUCUGAGUGCACUCAAUAAAGAUAUCCUCCUGUAUACACCCCAAGGUCUCUCUCUGGUACUCCUGAUUCCUGCAAAAAGAUGUCAAUUUAUAAACAAUAUACAGGACAGAUGAUAAAACAGCACAAAGAGUGUUGCUGAUUGGUAAUAUUUUGCCGUUAACGUUGUGAUUAGAAAAAAAUACAUAAUUAGGAGGUGCAAUAUGGCAUUUUGGUAUUAUUAUGAUAGUGGUGGCAGGUAACAGAUAUCACCAAAUUCUGCCCUGCCAUUCAAUUCUAUUAUUUACAGGAUUCCUAAGUGCACUGUACACACUACAAAUGUUAUCAGAAAGGAGUUAUACUUUAUGAGUUACUUCACUAGCACAAUAAGUAGGUAUCG